rnacentral:lncRNA from 1 species
CGUUUUGACUAUUCAUAAGCCUCCAUCGGAUUCCAAUAACACCUCCAAAUCCUCGUUUGAUUACGAAGAACACGAAGAACACACUUCGGUUUCUCUCGGUAUUCGUGCAGAGAAACUGGUGAAAAUGAUUUACGGUUGAAAAUAAGGUGUAGAAAGGGCUAUUUAUAUUUACAAAUAAUUGGUACCCCUUUGGAUCGUUUAUGACAUGAAAAUACGAUAUUUACUAGCUUUAUAUAAUAAAGCGGGGUCCAAUCGGUACUGGUUUUCAAGAUAAUCAUCAAAACGGGGCUUUUUAAUCAGUCAUUAGUAUGCGGGUCCCAUUGCAAUUAUUACAAGAUAAGGAUGAAUAUAAUAAUCAAAAUAUCUAGCUUUCACGUAUAUCGAGGCAAACUGGAUAAUUAUCAACAAUUAAAAUACCCGAAAAACUCCGCCGGACCGACUCCGGGGAAAACCGUACUCCGGAUCGAAAAAGUCAAAACACGAAAAAUGUCCGGAAUAUUGAAAUUAGGCUAAAGGUGAGUUUUGUUGAAACUUCCGGGAAGAAAAUUUGCUACCCCGUUACGAGUGGACGGAUUUACGGAAGUCAAAUAAUCAAUAAUUAAAUAUAAAUAUACGCAAUUAAAUCCGUAAAUCAAUUAUAAAAUCAUCUAAAAUUCCAUAAGUCGAUAUGAAAAUAUCCAAAUAAACUAUAUUUUCUCCUGAGCAUAUAGAAAUUGAAAUCUCUCAAAUACUAACACAUAUGAGCAUUCAGCUCAAUAAACUAGAUAAUACAAAGUUCACAAAAUU